UACGUAGGGUCCGAGCGUUGUCCGGAAUUACUGGGCGUAAAGAGCUCGUAGGUGGUUUGUCGCGUUGUCCGUGAAAACUCACAGCUUAACUGUGGGCGUGCGGGCGAUACGGGCAGACUGGAGUACUGCAGGGGAGACUGGAAUUCCUGGUGUAGCGGUGGAAUGCGCAGAGUAUCAGGAGGAACACCCGGUGGCGAAGGCGGGUCUCUGGGCAGUAACUGACGCUGAGGAGCGAAAGCGUGGGGAGCGAACAGG
rnacentral:rRNA from 1 species